UUUUGAAAGAGAAAACAAGAGCACGAGGGAUAUCGCUGCAUGCAGAUGUGUACGUUAGACGCGACGUAUGCAUUGGGUCCCAGCGCUGCCGUCACGAUAAAGGAAGGAGCAGUGUGGGGACGCCGAAGGGAUAAUGUUCGAAUCCCUGGAGGUGGAGAACUCGUCUCCUUUCGAGCGUGGCUGCACAAAACCCCUGCUUUGCACUGCAGGAGGAAAUACAUUGUGACCUUGAAAAAGUGGGAUGUUUGUAUUUUCUAUGUUCUUUUUCGUGAGUGAAAAAAGGAGAAAAAAAGCCCAGUUUGGUUUCUGGUACCGUGACAUUCUUGUUGUUGCAAAAUAGGCUUUGUGUUUUUGUACGUUAUUUUACAGUUCUGAAAAAAAGGCACAAAUAUCAAUUCAAAGGGAAAAAACGCAAUAAUGUCAACUAACAUAUAUUUUUACCUUUUAUCCGUAGUAUCCACAUGCUUUUGCCUGAAAACAAAUACUUGAAUAUAUAUAAAUAUAUAUGAAAUAAAUAUGAAAAUAUAUAUUAUAAUUAGUUUCCAGGGACAUCAUGUAAUAUUCUUUUAGUCUGAGCUGUAUCUUGCGUAAUGAGCCGCCAAGCUUCUUUUUGUUUAAGUACAAAUAUGGGCACUGUAUAAAGGCAUUAUUUAUUUUGUUAUAAAAUUAUAUAUUAAAAUCGGUCCAAAUACAGUAAUAUACAUAGCACUGAUGCUCAACUGAUGGAUUUUUAUUUUAUAUGCUCUCUUAUUUUCCCAUUUUACAUGUAAAUGCUUUUUGUAGAUGCUUUGUACCAAAAAAUAUUUCCUUUUUUUUCCCAUUUGGUUCGCCACAGAGCUAUUUUAAAAUCAAUAUUUUAACAGCAGCUGUAGCCUGGAUCGCCUAGGCAUGUUGUAAUACAAAAAUAGGCACAUACUCAGAAGACUCACUUUUUCUCUCCCUCCCGGAUGGCUUUUUAAUCUGCCAAAUGGAUUUCUGUUUAUAAAAAACAAAAACAACUACAAAAAAACUCCCUUGUGUUUAACUUUCCUCAUGAGGAUCUGGAUAACCCGGUCUCUAUAUGCCGUGAUUAUACACAACCCACUACAGUUUAAGCCACUUUAGUUCUGUUUUCGUAGUCAUAUCGUAAUUUUUUGGCCUCUCUAAGGUAAUCCCCAAAAGAAACCCAUGUUUUUUUGGGUUGAGAAUAGCCUGCAGGAAGAUGGAGGUGUUGUCCCUUGUUCAAUGUUUUCUAUUGCUGCUGAGUAAUUGAACUGCAGCCGUAAAGCAAAGUGUAAACUACACCAAUAUGAUGUCACCAAGAUCCAUUAUGAUGUCACAAAGGGUUGACUGUUUAUACAUCCCCUCGAUCUCACCAUCUUACAACAAUAUGCCCUAAAUCCUCUUAUUUCCUUUUGGUUGGGGUGUUUUUUCAAGUCCUCCAUAUAUCUUCAUCUCAGUCGUUGAAGGGCUUCCGUACUUAGUUACCCUAAUACUCAGGAAAUAUCAGCAGAUUUAUGUGAAAACUCAAUACAAGACCUUUUUUUUUUUUGCAGUUUCUCAGCUAAGCACAAGAAGUCAGUAUUGAUUCUUGUACGUGCCCCAUCUUCAAGGUCAUAAAAUGAUACUAUAGUAUCACUUAGUACCUUGAAACUUAAAGGUCUAAGUGCCUGCAGUCUAUCCCUCUGCCUUGAUAAUCUAAUAUUUAUCUGAUUCAUAUCAGUUGUGAUGAAGCAGUGCAAUUAUUAUAAUUACUAUCAUUAUUUUUAUUAUUCAAACAUCCCUUAUUUCCGAAGACAUUGCCAUUUUUCUGUUGUUAUCCACGGCAUCCACUGUUGUUCUUUCCAAACUGGUUACUCAACUUUCCAUGCAAAAAAAGGUGUGUAAGGAAAACAUAUCCUUUUGCGCUAAAAAUGAAGGGAUCUUUUGUCUUUCAUUGGCAUCGGUUUAAUAUCAGUAGCCCAUGCAGCCUGUAUGUAUUUUAAUUGAUUUAACCUCUGCACGCUAGAACGUCCGAAAUGCACAGUACAUGUACCUUCAUUUUUAAUAUCAAUAAAAAACAUUUUAUCAAACAUG
ensembl:lncRNA